UCGGAAUGAAAUCUGAAAUGACUGAGUGGCGGACGGGUGAGUAACGCGUGAGUAACCUGCCCUUAGGAAAGGGAUAGCGUCUGGAAACGGACGGUAAUACCAUAUAAAGUAUAUUAACGGCAUCGUAGAUAUACCAAAGCUGAGGCGCCUAAGGAUGGACUCGCGUCUGAUUAGAUAGUUGGUGGGGUAACAGCCUACCAAGUCGACGAUCAGUAGCCGGACUGAGAGGUUGAACGGCCACAUUGGGACUGAGACACGGCCCAGACUCCUACGGGAGGCAGCAGUGGGGAAUAUUGCACAAUGGGCGAAAGCCUGAUGCAGCAACGCCGCGUGAAGGAAGACGGUUUUCGGAUUGUAAACUUCUGUUCUUAGUGAAGAAUAAUGACGGUAACUAAGGAGCAAGCCACGGCUAACUACGUGCCAGCAGCCGCGGUAAUACGUAGGUGGCAAGCGUUGUCCGGAAUUACUGGGUGUAAAGGGAGCGUAGGCGGGAAGCCAAGUCAGCUGUGAAAACUACGGGCUUAACCUGUAGACUGCAGUUGAAACUGGCUUUCUUGAGUGAAGUAGAGGUUGGCGGAAUUCCGAGUGUAGCGGUGAAAUGCGUAGAUAUUCGGAGGAACACCGGUGGCGAAGGCGGCCAACUGGGCUUUAACUGACGCUGAGGCUCGAAAGUGUGGGGAACAAACAGGAUUAGAUACCCUGGUAGUCCACACUGCAAACGAUGAUAACUAGGUGUGGGGGGUCUGACCCCUUCC
rnacentral:rRNA from 1 species